CCCUGAGACUAUAAGUCUCCUGAAGGAACGUUAAAGACGAUGACGUUGAUAGGCCGGGUGUGUAAGCGCAGCGAUGCGUUGAGCUAACCGGUACUAAUGAACCGUGAGGCUUAACCUUACAACGCCGAAG
rnacentral:rRNA from 1 species